rnacentral:rRNA from 1 species
GACGAACGCUGGCGGCGUGCCUAAUACAUGCAAGUUGAGCGAUGAAGAUUGGUGCUUGCCCCAAUUUGAAGAGCAGCGAACGGGUGAGUAACGCGUGGGGAAUCUGCCUUUGAGCGGGGGACAACAUUUGGAAACGAAUGCUAAUACCGCAUAACAACUUUAAACAUAAGUUUUAAGUUUGAAAGAUGCAAUUGCAUCACUCAAAGAUGAUCCCGCGUUGUAUUAGCUAGUUGGUGAGGUAAAGGCUCACCAAGGCGAUGAUUCAUAGCCGACCUGAGAGGGUGAUCGGCCACAUUGGGACUGAGACACGGCCCAAACUCCUACGGGAGGCAGCAGUAGGGAAUCUUCGGCAAUGGACGAAAGUCUGACCGAGCAACGCCGCGUGAGUGAAGAAGGUUUUCGGAUCGUAAAACUCUGUUGGUAGAGAAGAACGUUGGUGAGAGUGGAAAGCUCAUCAAGUGACGGUAACUACCCAGAAAGGGACGGCUAACUACGUG